AGGUCAUUACCCAUGCUUUUAGAAUGCAGUUUCUGAUUUGCUGUGGAGAUGAUUGUAAAAAAAAACAUUCCCACUAGGUUGUCCUUUUGCUACCUUGCUAGCAUUCAACCUAUUGGGAACAUUC
rnacentral:snoRNA from 1 species